UCAGGAUGAACGCUGGCGGCGUGCCUAAUACAUGCAAGUCGAACGAAUCUCUUUUAGAGAUGAGUGGCGAACGGGUGAGUAAUACAUAGGUAACCUGCCCCUGUGCGGGGGAUAACAGGAGGAAACUCCUGCUAAUACCGCAUAGCCAUGAGCACCGCAUGGAGCUCAUGCCAAAUAUCCUUUCGGGGAUAGCGCAGGGAUGGACCUAUGGCGCAUUAGCUGGUUGGCGGGGCAACGGCCCACCAAGGCAACGAUGCGUAGCCGGCCUGAGAGGGCGGACGGCCACAUUGGGACUGAGACACGGCCCAGACUCCUACGGGAGGCAGCAGUAGGGAAUUUUCGGCAAUGGGGGAAACCCUGACCGAGCAACGCCGCGUGAGCGAAGAAGGCCUUCGGGUCGUAAAGCUCUGUUGUAAAGGAAGAACGGCGCAUACAGGAAAUGGUAUGCGAGUGACGGUACUUUACCAGAAAGCCACGGCUAACUACGUGCCAGCAGCCGCGGUAAUACGUAGGUGGCGAGCGUUAUCCGGAAUCAUUGGGCGUAAAGAGGGAGCAGGCGGCCGCAAGGGUCUGUGGUGAAAGACCGAAGCUAAACUUCGGUAAGCCAUGGAAACCGGGCGGCUAGAGUGCGGAAGAGGAUCGUGGAAUUCCAUGUGUAGCGGUGAAAUGCGUAGAUAUAUGGAGGAACACCAGUGGCGAAGGCGACGGUCUGGGCCGCAACUGACGCUCAUUCCCGAAAGCGUGGGGAGCAAAUAGGAUUAGAUACCCUAGUAGUCCACGCCGUAAACGAUGGUCACUAAGUGUCGGGGGUCAAACCCCGGUGCUGCAGUCAACGCAAUAAGUGACCCGCCUGAGUAGUACGUUCGCAAGAAUGAAACUCAAAGGAAUUGACGGAA
rnacentral:rRNA from 1 species